CCUACGGGAGGCUGCAGUAGGGAAUCUUCCACAAUGGGCGAAAGCCUGAUGGAGCAACGCCGCGUGGGUGAAGAAGGUCUUCGGAUCGUAAAACCCUGUUGUUAGAGAAGAAAGUGCGUGAGAGUUACUUUUCACGUUUCGACUGUAUAUAACCCAACAGCCACGGCUAACUACGUGCCAGCAGCCUCGGUAGUACGUAGGUGGCAAGCGUUAUCCGGAUUUAUUGGGCGUAAAGGGAACGCAGGCGGCCUUUUAAGUCUGAUGUGAAAGCCUUCGGCUUAACCGGAGUAGUGCAUUGGAAACUGGGAGACUUGAGUGCAGAAGAGGAGAGUGGAACUCCAUGUGUAGCGGUGAAAUGCGUAGAUAUAUGGAAGAACACCAGUGGCGAAAGCGGCUCGCUGGUCGGUAACUGACGCUGAGGUUCGAAAGCGUGGGUAGCAAACAGGAUUAGAUACCCGAGUAGUC
rnacentral:rRNA from 1 species